rnacentral:rRNA from 1 species
GGUGAACGCUGGCGGUAGGCCUAACACAUGCAAGUCGAACGGCAGCACAGUAAGAGCUUGCUCUUACGGGUGGCGAGUGGCGGACGGGUGAGGAAUACGUCGGAAUCUACUUUUUCGUGGGGGAUAACGUAGGGAAACUUACGCUAAUACCGCAUACGACCUACGGGUGAAAGCAGGGGAUCUUCGGACCUUGCGCGAUUGAAUGAGCCGAUGUCGGAUUAGCUAGUUGGCGGGGUAAAGGCCCACCAAGGCGACGAUCCGUAGCUGGUCUGAGAGGAUGAUCAGCCACACUGGAACUGAGACACGGUCCAGACUCCUACGGGAGGCAGCAGUGGGGAAUAUUGGACAAUGGGCGCAAGCCUGAUCCAGCCAUACCGCGUGGGUGAAGAAGGCCUUCGGGUUGUAAAGCCCUUUUGUUGGGAAAGAAAAGCAGCAGGUUAAUACCCCGCUGUUCUGACGGUACCCAAAGAAUAAGCACCGGCUAACUUCGUG